UACGGAGGGUGCAAGCGUUAUCCGGAUUCACUGGGUUUAAAGGGUGCGUAGGUGGGUCUGUAAGUCAGUGGUGAAAUCUCCGAGCUUAACUUGGAAACUGCCAUUGAUACUAUAGAUCUUGAAUAUUGUGGAGGUCAGCGGAAUAUGUCAUGUAGCGGUGAAAUGCUUAGAUAUGACAUAGAACACCAAUUGCGAAGGCAGCUGGCUACACAUAUAUUGAC
rnacentral:rRNA from 1 species